GAACGCUGAAGAGAGGAGCUUGCUCUUCUUGGAUGAGUUGCGAACGGGUGAGUAACGCGUAGGUAACCUGCCUUGUAGCGGGGGAUAACUAUUGGAAACGAUAGCUAAUACCGCAUAACAAUGGAUGACACAUGUCAUUUAUUUGAAAGGGGCAAUUGCUCCACUACAAGAUGGACCUGCGUUGUAUUAGCUAGUAGGUGAGGUAAUGGCUCACCUAGGCGACGAUACAUAGCCGACCUGAGAGGGUGAUCGGCCACACUGGGACUGAGACACGGCCCAGACUCCUACGGGAGGCAGCAGUAGGGAAUCUUCGGCAAUGGGGGCAACCCUGACCGAGCAACGCCGCGUGAGUGAAGAAGGUUUUCGGAUCGUAAAGCUCUGUUGUAAGUCAAGAACGGGUGUGAGAGUGGAAAGUUCACACUGUGACGGUAGCUUACCAGAAAGGGACGGCUAACUACGUGCCAGCAGCCGCGGUAAUACGUAGGUCCCGAGCGUUGUCCGGAUUUAUUGGGCGUAAAGCGAGCGCAGGCGGUUUGAUAAGUCUGAAGUUAAAGGCUGUGGCUCAACCAUAGUUCGCUUUGGAAACUGUCAAACUUGAGUGCAGAAGGGGAGAGUGGAAUUCCAUGUGUAGCGGUGAAAUGCGUAGAUAUAUGGAGGAACACCGGUGGCGAAAGCGGCUCUCUGGUCUGUAACUGACGCUGAGGCUCGAAAGCGUGGGGAGCGAACAGGAUUAGAUACCCUGGUAGUCCACGCCGUAAACGAUGAGUGCUAGGUGUUGGAUCCUUUCCGGGAUUCAGUGCCGCAGCUAACGCAUUAAGCACUCCGCCUGGGGAGUACGACCGCAAGGUUGAAACUCAAAGGAAUUGACGGGGGCCCGCACAAGCGGUGGAGCAUGUGGUUUAAUUCGAAGCAACGCGAAGAACCUUACCAGGUCUUGACAUCCCGAUGCUAUUUCUAGAGAUAGAAAGUUACUUCGGUACAUCGGUGACAGGUGGUGCAUGGUUGUCGUCAGCUCGUGUCGUGAGAUGUUGGGUUAAGUCCCGCAACGAGCGCAACCCCUAUUGUUAGUUGCCAUCAUUCAGUUGGGCACUCUAGCGAGACUGCCGGUAAUAAACCGGAGGAAGGUGGGGAUGACGUCAAAUCAUCAUGCCCCUUAUGACCUGGGCUACACACGUGCUACAAUGGUUGGUACAACGAGUUGCGAGUCGGUGACGGCGAGCUAAUCUCUUAAAGCCAAUCUCAGUUCGGAUUGUAGGCUGCAACUCGCCUACAUGAAGUCGGAAUCGCUAGUAAUCGCGGAUCAGCACGCCGCGGUGAAUACGUUCCCGGGCCUUGUACACACCGCCCGUCACACCACGAGAGUUUGUAACACCCGAAGUCGGUGAGGUAACCUUUUGGAGCCAGCCGCCUAAGG
rnacentral:rRNA from 1 species